rnacentral:rRNA from 1 species
UACGGGGGGGGCAAGCGUUGUUCGGAAUUACUGGGCGUAAAGGGUUCGUAGGUGGCUUGCUAAGUCAGACGUGAAAUCCCUCAGCUUAACUGGGGAACUGCGUCUGAGACUGGCAGGCUUGAGUGCAGGAGAGGAACGCGGAAUUCCAGGUGUAGCGGUGAAAUGCGUAGAUAUCUGGAGGAACACCGGUGGCGAAGGCGGCGUUCUGGACUGUAACUGACACUGAGUGAACGAAAGCCAGGGGAGCAACGGG